rnacentral:rRNA from 1 species
AUGGACGCACGCACCGGCACCCCGCUCACCCCGUCCUAUAGCCGUGACCCCGCCGCCGCCGCCGCCACAAACCCUAGCCCGGAUGGCGUUGGCCUCGCCGCCGCCAGAGCUCCUCCGACGAGCGGCCUCGCGCGCGGCCUCUUCAUGCCGCCGCGGAUGACCUCGGUGGCGGGUGGCGUCGCGCCGGCGCCGGCCCGAGCCGCCGCCCCCUCCUCCUCAAAGCUCCCCAAUGCGGCGCGGCUAAAGAAGGGCAAGACAUCGGCGAAGAAAAACAAGGCGGCGGACGGCUUCGGCACCUCCAAGGCGAAGAGGAAGAAGCUUGCGGGGCGUGCGACGGGCGCGGCGGCUGCCGAAGCGCCGGCAAGCUCGCUCGUUGAGCCGGCGGCCGGCGCGCACAACAUGUUCGACGAAAUGCCUCCAAGGAUGAUGCAUCAAAAAGACCAAACCCAAAAGAAGAAGAAGAAAGGAGAUGAUGAGCUCAAACAUGCUAUGGAAGCUAUUGUGAAGACAAAAAAAGAAGCCAACGAGGUGAGGAAAAUGGCAAGGACCCAAGAUGCCGCGACCGAGGAGAGGAGGUUGGCGGCCGAGGAGAGGAGGGUGGCGGCCGAGGAGAGGAAGGUGAGCAAUGAGGAGCGAACUAGGUUGUUGGAAUGGGAGAAGCACUUGUUCUUCUUGGACACAACUAACCUCAAUGCGGUGCAAAAGGAGUAUGUCAAUCUUGCCCAACAAGAAGUCUUGAUCCGAAAAAGAGCCAUGGUUCGUGCAAUGGGUGGCGGUGGCCUCGGCGCCAUGGAUGUCAUGGGUGGCUUCGAAGCGUCAGAACUCAGAGGAACAGAGCAUUGUUUCUGCAGAGUUUUUGCUAGCCCUUCCCGCAACUCGAUCAUGAGCUACCAGCAGGGCUACCCGCCGCCGGGCACCGCAGCAGCGUACCCUCCGCCGGGCCAGCAGCAGGCCUACGUCGCGCCGCCGCCGGCUGCGUACCAGCAGGGCCAGCAGUACCCUCCGGCCGGCGGCGACACCACCAGCCGCGGCGAGCACGGCCACGGCGGCGAUGGGUUCUUGAAAGGAUGCUGCGCGGCGCUCUGCUGCUGCUGCCUCCUCGACGCCUGCUUCUGA